rnacentral:lncRNA from 1 species
AGACUAUCUAAGACAUGGUUUGUUUGAAUUAAAAAAGUUGGAAUAAAGUACCUGCUAGAAUUCAGGAGAAUUAGACCAAAUCAGGCUAUCUUCUAGAUUAUCAGACAAUUGACUGUACAUAGAAAAGGAAUUUUCUUUUUUCUUUUUUCUUAUUUAGCUAUUUGUUAUCUCUGUCCUUAAUAUAUACUGAACUAAGCCAUUUUUUCACAUAUUUUUUUUUGUUUUUUCUCUCUUGUGACUUGUUAUUUAACAUAACAAAAAAAACCAAAGGCAAUGAAAGAGAAACUGACAAUGCCAAGGCAAAACAUAAGAUGCAGAAAAGAAAAACAAAACAAAACACUAAGCAACACCAACAUCACCAAAAAACUAGUGUUGAAUUCAUGUGCUCAGUCAGUCAGUGAGAGUUCGCAGAUCCUGACCUACUAUAUCUAUGCUUAAAAACCUAAAAAUCAUAUAGUUCUAAACAUAUUUUGUAAAUUUAUACUUGAU